CAGCCGCCACGGGAAUACGAAGGGUGCAAGCGUUACUCGGAAUUACUGGGCGUAAAGCGUGCGUAGGUGGUGGUUUAAGUCCGUUGUGAAAGCCCUGGGCUCAACCUGGGAAUUGCAGUGGAUACUGGGUCACUAGAGUGUGGUAGAGGAUAGUGGAAUUUCCGGUGUAGCAGUGAAAUGCGUAGAGAUCGGAAGGAACAUCUGUGGCGAAGGCGACUAUCUGGGCCAACACUGACACUGAGGCACGAAAGCGUGGGGAGCAAACAGGAUUAGAUACCCGGGUAGUCCCUGUCUCUUAUAC
rnacentral:rRNA from 1 species